AGCUGGGGCACUCGUCUUGUUCCUGUGGAGCGCCCAGCUGGACUGAAUGAUGUUGGCAUGGUAGCAUGGAGCAUGGAAAUGUCUACCCCCGAGUUCCCUUCUGGAAGGACAAUUUUGAUUGUAGCAAAUGAUGUGACCUUCAAAGCUGGGUCUUUUGGCCACCAAGAGAGGAUGCAUUUUUCUUUGCAGUAACUGAUCUUGCUUGCACUAAAAAGUUGCCAUUAAUUUAUUUGGCAGCAAACUCUGGUGCCCGAAUUGGAGUUGCUGAGGA
rnacentral:misc_RNA from 1 species